rnacentral:rRNA from 1 species
CCCUUAGAUGUUCUGGGCCACACGCGCGCUACACUGAGCCCUUCAUCGAGUUUACAACCUUGGCCGGUAGGUCUGGGUAAUCUUCUCAAAGGGGCUCGUGCUGGGGAUAGAUUAUUGUAAUUUUUAAUCUUCAACGAGGAAUUCCUAGUAAACGCAAGUCAACAGCUUGCAUUGAUUACGUCCCUGCCCUUUGUACACACCGCCCGUCGCUACUACCGAUUGAAUGGCUUAGUGAGCCCGAGGGACUGUUGCACCUAGAGGGUUUUCUCUCCAGGAGCAGCCGGGAACUCGGUCAAACUUGAUCAUUUAGAGGAAGUAAAAGUCGUAACA